GUUGAGCUGACCAUUUUCCCCACAGUGGUCAACCUGAACAGGAUCAAGCUUAACAGUAAACAGUGCCGCAUCUACACGGUCCCAGUCAACGAACUCAAAGCCCCGUUCAUUUACAAUGACCCCACGCUGGAGGUGUGCCACCAUGAGUCCAAACAUGUAUGCAAGAGAGAGACAGAGGGAGCUCCAUAAUGGGAUGACGACCUCCAUCAUCUGACAUAAUCAGGAUGAAUCAGGCCAGGUGGUCGGAGCGGGAGAAGGCCCUCUGACACAGCAGACACUCGUAGGGUUUUUGGCCCGUGUGCUUGCGGUAGUGACGCGUCAGCUCAUCUGAACGGGCAAAUUUCCAGCUGCAUCCUUCCCAUGAACAGUGAUGAGUGCAGAUUUUCUGGACCAAAACUGAGAAUGACAGUUUCAUCACUCACUUCAUCCACGUCUUUGUCUUCUUCUACUGUAUGAAUCAAAGGGUUAAUAUAAAGGGGUCAUGUCUGCUGUGUUUUCAAUUAAAAUAUUAACAACAAUUGGAUUUUCCGUUCCAUAACCCCUCUUUCUAUCUCUCCGAAACAAUGGGAGAAGACAGUCUCAUACUAUGCUCUGGA